AAAGCCCUGGCUCAACCAGGGAGGGUCAUUGGAACUGGAGAACUUGAGUGCAGAAGAGGAAAGUGGAAUUCCAUGUGUAGCGGUGAAAUGCGUAGAUAUAUGGAGGAACACCAGUGGCGAAGGCGACUUUCUGGUCUGUAACUGACGCUGAGGCUCGAAAGCAUGGGGAGCAAACAGGAUUAGAUACCCUGGUAGUCCAUGCCGUAAACGAUGAGUGCUAAGUGUUGGAGGGUUUCCGCCCUUCAGUGCUGCAGCUAACGCAUUAAGCACUCCGCCUGGGGAGUACGACCGCAAGGUUGAAACUCAAAGGAAUUGACGGGGGCCCGCACAAGCGGUGGAGCAUGUGGUUUAAUUCGAAGCAACGCGAAGAACCUUACCAGGUCUUGACAUCCUUUGACCACUCUAGAGAUAGAGCUUUCCCUUCGGGGACAAAGUGACAGGUGGUGCAUGGUUGUCGUCAGCUCGUGUCGUGAGAUGUUGGGUUAAGUCCCGCAACGAGCGCAACCCUUAUUAUUAGUUGCCAGCAUUCAGUUGGGCACUCUAGUGAGACUGCCGGUGAUAAACCGGAGGAAGGUGGGGAUGACGUCAAAUCAUCAUGCCCCUUAUGACCUGGGCUACACACGUGCUACAAUGGAUGGUACAACGAGUCGCAAAGCCGCGAGGUUAAGCUAAUCUCUUAAAGCCAUUCCCAGUUCGGAUUGUAGGCUGCAAUUCGCCUACAUGAAGCCGGAAUCGCUAGUAAUCGCGGAUCAGAACGCCGCGGUGAAUACGUUCCCGGGCCUUGUACACACCGCCCGUCACACCACGAGAGUUUGUAACACCCAAAGUCGGUGAGGUAACCUUCGGGAGCCAGCCGCCUAAGGUGGGACAGAUAAUUGGGGUG
rnacentral:rRNA from 1 species